rnacentral:rRNA from 1 species
UUAUACAGCGAAACUGCGAAUGGCUCAUUAAAUCAGUUAUAGUUUAUUUGAUAGUACCCCUUACUACAUGGAUAACCGUGGUAAUUCUAGAGCUAAUACAUGCGUAAAAGUCCGACUUUGGAAGGACUGUAUUUAUUAGAUAAAAAACCAAUGCCUUCGGGCUGUUUGGUGAAUCAUAAUAACUUAUCGAAUCGCAUGGCCUUGCGCCGGCGAUGGUUCAUUCAAAUUUCUGCCCUAUCAACUUUCGAUUGGUGAGUAGUGUUCACCAAUGGUUUCGACGGGUAACGAAGAAUUAGGGUUCGAUCUCGGAGAGGACGCCUGAGAAACGGCGUACACAUCCAAGGAAGGCAGCAGGCGCGCAAAUUACCCAAUCCCGAUACGGGGAGGUAGUGACAAUAAAUACUGAUGCAGGGCUCUUUUGGGUCUUGCAAUUGGAAUGAGUACAAUUUAAAUCCCUUAACGAGGAACAAUUGGAGGGCAAGUCUGGUGCCAGCAGCCGCGGUAAUUCCAGCUCCAAUAGCGUAUAUUAAAGUUGUUGCAGUUAAAAAGCUCGUAGUUGAAUUUUGGGCUUGGUGUACUGGUCCGCCUCACCGCGAGUACUGGGGACGCCGAGCCUUUCUUUCUGGGAAAGGRCAUGGCCUUCAUUGGCUGUGUUCCGGAACCAGGACUUUUACUUUGAAAAAAUUAGAGUGUUCAAAGCAGGCCUUCGCUCGAAUACAUUAGCAUGGAAUAAUGGAAUAGGACGGCUUUCCUAUUUUGUUGGUUUCUAGGAGAGCCGUAAUGAUUAAUAGGGACAGUUGGGGGCAUCAGUAUUCAAUUGUCAGAGGUGAAAUUCUUGGAUUUAUUGAAGACUAACUACUGCGAAAGCAUUUGCCAAAGAUGUUUUCAUUAAUCAAGAACGAAAGUUAGGGGAUCGAAGACGAUCAGAUACCGUCGUAGUCUUAACCAUAAACUAUGCCGACUAGGGAUUAGCUGGUGUUUUUUAUAUGACCCAGUUAGCACCUUACGAGAAAUCAAAGUUUUUGGGU